rnacentral:rRNA from 1 species
GAUGAACGCUGGCGGCGUGCCUAAUACAUGCAAGUCGAGCGAACAGACGAGGAGCUUGCUCCUCUGACGUUAGCGGCGGACGGGUGAGUAACACGUGGAUAACCUACCUAUAAGACUGGGAUAACUUCGGGAAACCGGAGCUAAUACCGGAUAAUAUAUUGAACCGCAUGGUUCAAUAGUGAAAGACGGUUUUGCUGUCACUUAUAGAUGGAUCCGCGCCGCAUUAGCUAGUUGGUAAGGUAACGGCUUACCAAGGCGACGAUGCGUAGCCGACCUGAGAGGGUGAUCGGCCACACUGGAACUGAGACACGGUCCAGACUCCUACGGGAGGCAGCAGUAGGGAAUCGUCCGCAAUGGGCGAAAGCAUGACGGAGCAACGCCGCGUGAGUGAUGAAGGUCUUCGGAUCGUAAAACUCUGUUAUUAGGGAAGAACAAAUGUGUAAGUAACUAUGCACGUCUUGACGGUACCUAAUCAGAAAGCCACGGCUAACUACGUG